GAAGAAUUUCUGCAGAUAAUCUUCAGUAUUCAUCGUGAAUUCGUUUUGGAUAGGAUUUAACAAAGAUAAUCCGAAAUGUUUUCUAAGGUCUUGUGCUUCGCGGUUCUCGUAGCUGUGGCGGUGGCCCA